AUGGCAUCCCGGCUGGAGUCACUCAUGAAGCGACUGUGGAGCUAUCUUCCCUCUUCUCUUAGCAGUUCCAGGAGCGACCCUCCGCAGCAGAUUCCUGAUCCUACCGAUGAUCCUCCGGCCGAUCAAGUCGGGGACACUCCACCCGCUCCCGAAGUUUCAGAUCUUGAGCACCUUCCAAGUCCUAACCACAUAGGACGCCUUGAUGGUGCAGUUGAGGCCGAUCUGGCCGUCAAGCCGAAGCUUGGCAGUUCCACCAGUUUUCCUCGACACAAAAUUCAUGAUCCUGUGGGCGAUUACUCCUCUCAGGAAGGAUCACGAAGGCUUGCCAUAGGGCAUCCCGAUGGGACCCACCAAGGGUCCGUGCACCGUCGUGGCGCGAGCCUCCCCUAG
rnacentral:rRNA from 1 species